AGUAUACAGCUUUAAGGAGUUGCCCCAUGCUGGAAGUUAGCGAGAAUACAGCUUUAAGGAGCUUCAGCAUUAGCUUCAAUUUUCCGGCCCCGAAACGCCGUCCAUUAUUUUGACAGUCUAUGGUUUUAACAGUGGUGCUCUGUCACAGAGGAAGAAGGUAUAUCAAGCUUCGAUACA